rnacentral:rRNA from 1 species
CCUACGGGGGGCAGCAGUAGGGAAUCUUUCACAAUGGGCGAAAGCCUGAUGGAGCAACGCCGCGUGCAGGAUGAAGGCCUUCUGGUUGUAAACUGCUUUUAUAAGCGGGAAAUAUGAUUGUAAGUGAUGAAUAAGGAUCGGCUAACUACGUGCCAGCAGCCACGGUCAUACGUAGGGUCCGAGCAUUAUCCGGAGUGACUGAGUGUAAAGAGUUGCGUAGGUGGCAUAAUAAGUAGCUAGUGAAAUCUGGUGGCUCAACCAUUAAGACUAUUAGCUAAACUGUUAAGCUCGAGAACGUUAGGGGUAACUGGAAUUUCUAGUGUAGGAGUGAAAUCCGUAGAUAUUAGAAGGAACACCAAUAGCGUAGGCAGGUUACUGGGACGGUUCUGACACUAAGGCACGAAAGCGUAGGGAGCAAACGGGAUUAGAUACCCCAGUAGUC